AGGGAAACCGAGUCUUAACUGGGCGUUAAGUUGCAGGGUAUAGACCCGAAACCCGGUGAUCUAGCCAUGGGCAGGUUGAAGGUUGGGUAACACUAACUGGAGGACCGAACCGACUAAUGUUGAAAAAUUAGCGGAUGACUUGUGGCUGGGGGUGAAAGGCCAAUCAAACCGGGAGAUAGCUGGUUCUCCCCGAAAGCUAUUUAGGUAGCGCCUCGUGAACUCAUCUUCGGGGGUAGAGCACUGUUUCGGCUAGGGGGUCAUCCCGACUUACCAACCCGAUGCAAACUGCGAAUACCGAAGAAUGUUAUCACGGGAGACACACGGCGGGUGCUAACGUCCGUCGUGAAGAGGGAAACAACCCAGACCGCCAGCUAAGGUCCCAAAGUCACAGUUAAGUGGGAAACGAUGUGGGAAGGCUCAGACAGCCAGGAUGUUGGCUUAGAAGCAGCCAUCAUUUAAAGAAAGCGUAAUAGCUCACUGGUCGAGUCGGCCUGCGCGGAAGAUGUAACGGGGCUAAACUGUGCACCGAAGCUGCGGCAGCGACGCUUAUGCGUUGUUGGGUAGGGGAGCGUUCUGUAAGCCUGCGAAGGUGUCCUGUGAGGGAUGCUGGAGGUAUCAGAAGUGCGAAUGCUGACAUAAGUAACGAUAAUGCGGGUGAAAAGCCCGCUCGCCGGAAGACCAAGGGUUCCUGUCCAACGUUAAUCGGGGCAGGGUGAGUCGACCCCUAAGGCGAGGCCGAAAGGCGUAGUCGAUGGGAAACGGGUUAAUAUUCCCGUACUUGGUGUUACUGCGAAGGGGGGACGGAGAAGGCUAUGUUGGCCGGGCGACGGUUGUCCCGGUUUAAGCGUGUAGGCUGGUUUUCCAGGCAAAUCCGGA
rnacentral:rRNA from 1 species